CCCUAGGAAUUUAGGUCGUGGCUAACCUCCAAGCUCCCUCCCUGCUGGGUCUUUAGCACGAGGCUGCCUCCCGGUUUCCAUGUUUCUGUCAUUCUUCUAGGGGGAGUUUGCUUUCGUAUAUGUGAUUCAGCUCUUCAGAGGGAACCCGUGACAGCCAUGUGAGAUGCGUUUAAUUUUGUAUGGUUUAAUUGUACAUUAGCCACAGGGUCUGCUAGAUGACUCUGCUUUUCCGAGGAAAACUUUUUCAAGGUUUUUUUUUUUUUUCUAGGAGACCGAAAAGAGGGAAACAUCUAUGACUAUUUCCUUUGUAAAUAUCCACGUCGGAAUAGAGAAAUCACAUAGAGUGGCUUUUUGUCCAAAACAGUUUUGUGGUAUUCUACAGUCAGGUCGCAACUAGAAUGAACGUUGUCAAUGCCGUUAUAUGAGGCAGAAUCAGAGUGAGGAAGGCAACUCCCGUGAUCUGGUAGACACAGAGGGGUGCCGCCCAGAUGCCCCUUCAAGGAGACUUCCAGAGACUCUAACCUGCGGCCAUCGGUGCUGGGCGUGGUCCCAGAAAGCAGGCGACAAAGUGAGGGUUUGAAAGUGGAUCACACACCACCAGACUGGCCGUGAGGCCCCCAUCGCUGGUGAAACUUAAGGAGCAGCUGAGGGUGAAAAUCAUGUAUGAAAUCCAGGCGUGAACGCCAGAAGGCUCACUGGAUAUUCACAGAUGCACCUUCAGACCUGCAACGGUGGGAGAAGAAAAAAAUUUGGACUCUUCCACCUAAGAGAUUGGACUUCAUAAAAAAUUAAAGCAGGCCCAUGUCAAGAGAGGGGACUAGGUUAGAAAAACCUUUAGUCCUAACAGAUGGAAUGGAGACAUCUUGGUGGAUGUCCCCAAAGAUUUUGACAUCUCACCGUCUGAACUUCCUAGGCCGUUGGCCACCCGAGAACUGGCAUGAUGGGCACAUGAAUGGAGAGGCCACCGUGACAGAGAUGGAGGCUGAGAAUAUUUCCAAGGGCACAUAAAGGCAGUU